UGCUGAAAAUCGUCCGAAGAUAUCAGGAUCAGGCCUUGGCUGAUUGCAAAAUUGUUCACCGUGAAAAUUAAAUAUUGCACUCUCCCCGGCCUGAUCUGAGAGUAAGGCGAAGCUGAAUUGACUU
rnacentral:precursor_RNA from 15 species